GAUGAAGAACGUAGCGAAACGCGAUAUGUAAUGUGAAUUGCAGAAUUCAGUGAAUCAUCGAAUCUUUGAACGCACAUGGCGCCUUCCAGUAUCCUGGGAGGCAUGCCUGUCCGAGCGUCGUUUCAACCCUCGAGCCCCCGUGGCCCGGCGUUGGGGAUCUGCCCAGGCAGUCCCCGGAAACCAGUGGCGGACCCGUUACAGGCCCUUCCCUUGCGUAGUAGCAUUCGCCUCGCAUCGGGAGCCGGCGGGCUUCCAGCCUCUAAACCCCCAUCAAGUCCGCCCCGGCGGCACCAAGGUUGACCUCGGAUCAGGUAGGAAUACCCGCUGAACUUAAGCAUAUCAAUAAGCGGAGGA
rnacentral:misc_RNA from 1 species